CGGAGAGAUAGAACCAGUGGCGGCGGCAUAGGCGCUGGGAGAUGGAUUCGAGUUCCUACCAGAUCUGGUCAACGGAUUCCCUCUUCCGUCGUUGGGGUGGUGAGGUGAAUACACGCCGCCGGUGCAGCCGGUUGCAGGUCCGAUGGACGCAGUAGCCGAGUUCAGCGUUGCUGAUGUUGGUGAUGCCUCGCCGGCGGGGCAGCCAGAGCUGAACGACGCUUGCGCGUCAAGCAGCUUGUUCACACCUGAUUCAGAACAGUCAAUGUGCAGAGACGACCCGCAGGCACCAUGGUGGACGAAGAGGUAAAUCAUGCCUAAAUUAUCCGCUGACUGUAUUACUGGAAUCCUUGUGGUGCAGACGCUCCUGUGAUAAUGCCACUGCUUGGAAGUAGAUAUUACUGGAAAAAAAAGUGAAACUGUAAUGCGUGCUGGUGUGUUGGGAGGAUGCGGUCUCCAGAGUUAAAACAAAUGUGGUAUAUGUGACAGCAACAAUCUAAUUGAUGCUGGGUUCGUGUUGGGCGGGCACUUGUUGAACGGCCACCAUGCGCCGGUAGAGUGUGCACUCUCGAAAAAACAAUCAGGGGAAAUGCAAAGAAGACUGGAAGUGUUGUAACGCCUGAACUCGGCAGGAGCUUCGGUUCAUUAGGUGAAGCGUAUAACUACUACAAUAUGUACUUCUAGGAAAUUGGAUUUGGAAUCAAGUAGUGAUGUGACCUAUGAUUUACGGAUCAGUUGCUGAAGAUAAUUAAUAUCUUACUUUUUCAGGAGUUUUAUCAUAAUUGCCACAUGAAUGUCAAGUCAUAUACCCGUGACAGCGGUUUGUGUUCGCAGGGGAGAACAUCACUACCGAGUUUGUCACUGUGAGGCCUACUUCAAUUCAACUGCAAAAGGCGCCCAACGAUGAGUGCCCUUCAGUCUCGCUUCCGUCCUCGACGGUGUGUGUUUGGAAUUUUUUCUUAAAGGAAAAGUGCUUUCAAGGGAUGAGGGCAUACCACAGUGUUUGGAUUGGAGGGAACAUCCUUGCAUCUCUUGAGUCGUUCCAGCAAGUUGCUAGAUGGGUGUAGAGUCAUAUACUAGAAACCGCCGCGUGGUGUGCGUGGGGGAGAACUUUGCCAGGUGGUCCUUCGGUGUGUGGCCUACUUCAACUGCAAAAUGCACCCACCGGUUGGUCCUAGCAUCUACCCUCGUGUGCACGUGGAUCUGCUGCUCUUGUCGGCAUCCCCAGCGGUUGUCGUCAUGGUCACCCCGAUGAAGGUUUCUGGGUGCCAACCGUAGCCUCCCAGUGUGUGCGCAGUUGAAGGCUUUGGUUCGGUGCCCAUGGCAUCAUGCGCAUCCGCCUCCCGUCAUGCAAUAGCAGAGAUAAGCCUCCAUAUGAUGAUCACAGGGCAAGAAAUGUAAUGGUGUGCCUAGAGCAGCAGCUCCAGUUGCGGUACAAGCAAGCGUAUACAGUUUUGCGGUAUAUGCCGGCUACAAGGGCACAAGAACACCACUUGACCCCAGAUCCUAGUCAGGCGGUCAUCGAAAGAACACAUGCAACAAUCCUAAGGUCGUCUUGCAUGUUGUGGAUAAUGGUAACCUUGACGGUCUCUGCCUGGGCGCUUAGCGAAGUUCACCGGUGGGCUCAAUCGUUCUGCGCAUCAAGUUCAACUUUUUCCCUAUAGGGUGAGCGUUCAGUAGCCGUAACAGCACAUCAUAAGCAUGUAAUCUGCGUAUAGUAAGGCAAGUUAUGUGUUUGUGUACCAAAAAAUGUAGCUGCCUGUGUAACAACCGCAUCAACCCUGGUGUUGCUUUGCAUUUGGUGGAUGAACUGUGUUAUUAUUGGAUCUGACUUAGGAUUUGUUUUUCAUAUAUUUGCAUGUUGACUAUCCCAAAAAAAUCCAUGAAAUGCGGAAGGGUGAGGUUAGG